UGAUUAGGGUGGACUACAAGAGACACUACUGUGGAAAACCUGGAAGGCAAAAGUGAAGCAGCAGCCAUUUUGUAGCUGACCCGUAUUGUCUCUGAUCUACUGACUCACCUCAUUGGCAUGAAGCAGUGGCCACAUCUGAAACUACUCCGUCAUCCCCUGGAUCUUUCUUCAGCUUCUCUUACUCCUUGGCCAGGCCGCUGUUAGGGGAGAGGAUUUGGUGAUUUAUAGAAGAAGAGAGAAAUACGGAAGAAGAAAAGAGGAGAGAAAAAGUGAAGAAAGACAAAUCCAGAUGAUCUUGGAAGCACACUUCCUCCCAUUUGGGAGCUCAGCAAGAUACUAAUAACAGCUGAGGAAACAUCAGAUAAACCCAGAUGGAGAAACAUUCUGAAAAAGAACUGACCUUACUCUUCAAGAAUAUCAAUGGCAAGAAAAACUCAGGAAGUGUUCCAGACUAAAGGAGACAAAAGUGACAGUUGAAGGCAAUGCGUGACUAGAAAUAUCCUUUUGCUAUAAAGAAUAUUAAUGAGGUAAUUGGUGGAAUCUGAAUAAAAUCCAUAGAUUGUUAAUUAUAUUGCAUAAGUGUUAAUUUCCUGGUUUUGUUCAUUGUAAAGUGGUUAUAUAAGAGAAUGCAUUGGUUUGUAGAAAUAUAUACUAACAUACUUAGGGGAAAGGGCAUCAAUCAAGUUACUAAUUACUCUCAAAUGAGAGAGCCAGAGAAUAAACAAAUGAAGUAAAAUGUUAAUAUUUUGGAAAUCUGGGUGAAAAGGAUUCAGAAAGUUUUCAUAAUAUUUUUUCAACUUUUUUAUCAGUCUGAAUUUUGUCAAAAAUUUUUUAAAGUGA